rnacentral:rRNA from 1 species
GACGAACGCUGGCGGCGUGCUUAACACAUGCAAGUCCAACGGUAAGGCCCUCCGGGGUACACGAGUGGCGAAAGGGUGAGUAACCCGCGGGUGAUUUGCCAUGCACUUCGGGAUAAGUCUGGGACACUGGGUCUAAUACUGGAUCGGACUCUUGGAUGCAUGUCCUGGGGUGGCAAGCUUUUGCGGUGUUGGAUGGGUCCGCGGCCCAUCAGCUUGGUGGUUGGGUGAUGGCCUACCAAGGCGACGACGGGUAGCCGGCCAGAGAGGGUGACCGGCCAGACUGGGACUGAGAAACGGCCCAGACUCCUACGGGAGGCAGCAGUGGAGAAUGUUGCACAAUGGGCGGAAGCCUGAUGCAGCGACGCCGCGUGAGGGAUGACGGCCUUCGGGUUGUAAACCUCUUUCAGCACCGACGAAGCGCAAGUGACGGGAGGUGCAGAAGAAGGACCGGCCAACUACGUGCCAGCCGCCGCGGUAA